GGGGCCACUGGAGAGCUUCUUGGUCCUAGAGUGCUGGACAGGGACCCAAUGCUCUGUGCUCCUAUGCCCCCCAGUGGGCCAAUAUCCAAAGACCUUGAGUGCAAGGAGCUACUGGCAACGAACAAUACUUAUGGACUGCCCGAAGAACAGUGGACCUUGGCGUGGGCCGGGUAACCCACCCACUAAUUCAUGGUCAUCCCUGACUGCCCCUAUCCCUUGCUCAUGAGAAAAUUGCUCUCCAAAUUGGCUUGCGUGGGCUGAAAUGGCUGGAUGAGGCCAUGUGUAUACAUAUCUAUAGACUGUGUAUGUGGAGCUUAAGACCUGUCUCAGUACACCAGUAACUGAUGCUGGGAGUUAAAUGGCUUAGUGCUUUUCUGCCUGAAACACACCGUUCCUGCCAGCCGGGCACUAACAAUUAUCACCCAAUCCAGGACUUAAACUGUGAUAGAGUGGCUGAUAGAGUGUCCAAAGAUGGGACCACUGGUCAGCUGCCAUGGACUAAAUUCUCCACUGGUUGGGGGCAAUCUGGUCACCUUGCUGCCCAAU
rnacentral:lncRNA from 1 species